GAUGAACGCUAGCUACAGGCUUAACACAUGCAAGUCGAGGGACCGGCGCACGGGUGAGUAACACGUAUCCCACCUGCCCUUUACUCGGGGAUAGCCUUUAGAAAGAAAGAUUACUACACAAUGUAAAGGAUGGAGAUGCGUUCCAUUAGGUUGUUGGUAAGGUAACGGCUCACCAAGCCUUCGAUGGAGAGGUGUUCUGAGAGGAAGGUACACUACAUUGGAACUGAGACCCAGUCCAAACUCCUACGGGAGGCAGCAGUGAGUAACAUUGUGUAAUGGGCUUUAGCCUGAACCAGCCAAGUAGCGUGAAGGAUGAAGGCUUAUGGGACGUAAACUUCUUUUAUAUAAGAUUAUGUAUUAUAUGAAUAAGCAUCGGCUAACUCCGUGCCAGCCGCCGCGGUAAUAC
rnacentral:rRNA from 1 species